AGCGAACGCUAGCGGCAGGCCUAACACAUGCAAGUCGAACGAACUCUUCGGAGUUAGUGGCGGACGGGUGAGUAACACGUGGGAACGUGCCUUUAGGUUCGGAAUAACUCAGGGAAAAUUGUGCUAAUACCGACUGUGCCCUUCGGGGGAAAGAUUUAUCGCCUUUAGAGCGGCCCGCGUCUGAUUAGCUAGUUGGUGAGGUAACGGCUCACCAAGGCGACGAUCAGUAGCUGGUCUGAGAGGAUGGCCAGCCACACUGGGACUGAGACACGGCCCAGACUCCUACGGGAGGCAGCAGUGGGGAAUCUUGCGCAAUGGGCGAAAGCCUGACGCAGCCAUGCCGCGUGAAUGAUGAAGGUCUUAGGAUUGUAAAACUCUUUCACCGGGGACGAUAAUGACGGUACCCGGAGAAGAAGCCCCGGCUAACUUCGUGCCAGCCGCCGCAGUAA
rnacentral:rRNA from 1 species